rnacentral:tRNA from 1 species
GCCAACGUAGCUUAACAUAAAGCAUAGCACUGAAGAUGCUAAGAUGAGACCUAAAAAGCUCCGUACGCA